AACGUACGCUGGCGGCACGCCUAACACAUGCAAGUCGAACGAAGUAGCAAUACUUAGUGGCAGACGGGUGAGUAACAUGUAGGUAUCUGCCCUUUGGCCUGGAAUAACACGAGGAAACUUGUGCUAAUACCGGAUAAGUCUUUACGGAGAAAGCUUUAUGCACCAUUGGAUGAGCCUGCACUUGAUUAGUUUGUUGGUGGGGUAAUGGCCUACCAAGACUGUGAUCAAUAGCUGAUUUGAGAGGAUGAUCAGCCACAUUGGGACUGAGACACGGCCCAAACUCCUACGGGAGGCAGCAGUGGGGAAUCUUGCACAAUGGAGGAAACUCUGAUGCAGCGAUGCCGCGUGAGUGAAGAAGGCCCUUGGGUUGUAAAGCUCUUUCGUCGGGGAAGAAAAUGACUGUACCCGAAUAAGAAGGUCCGGCUAACUUCGUGCCAGCAGCCGCGGUAAUACGAAGGGACCUAGCGUAGUUCGGAAUUACUGGGCUUAAAGAGUUCGUAGGUGGUUGAAAUAGUUGGUGGUGAAAUCCCAGAGCUUAACUCUGGAACUGCCAUCAAAACUUUUCAGCUAGAGUAUGAUAGAGGAAAGCAGAAUUUCUAGUGUAGAGGUGAAAUUCGUAGAUAUUAGAAAGAAUACCAAUUGCGAAGGCAGCUUUCUGGAUCAUUACUGACACUGAGGAACGAAAGCAUGGGUAGCGAAGAGGAUUAGAUACCCUCGUAGUCCAUGCCGUAAACGAUGUGUGUUAGACGUUGGAAAUUUAUUUUCAGUGUCGCAGGGAAACCGAUAAACACACCGCCUGGGGGAGUACGACCGCAAGGUUAAAACUCAAAUGAAUUGACGGGGACCCGCACAAGUAGUGGAGCAUGUGGUUUAAUUCGAAGAUACGCGCAGAACCUUACCAACACUUGACAUGUUCGUCGCGACUCUA
rnacentral:rRNA from 1 species